AUUGAACGCUGGCGGCAGGCCUAACACAUGCAAGUCGAGCGGAUGAAGGGAGCUUGCUCCUGGAUUCAGCGGCGGACGGGUGAGUAAUGCCUAUGAAUCUGCCUGGUAGUGGGGGAUAACGUCCGGAAACGGGCGCUAAUACCGCAUACGUCCUGAGGGAGAAAGUGGGGGAUCUUCGGACCUCACGCUAUCAGAUGAGUCUAGGUCGGAUUAGCUAGUUGGUGGGGUAAAGGCCUACCAAGGCGACGAUCCGUAACUGGUCUGAGAGGAUGAUCAGUCACACUGGAACUGAGACACGGUCCAGACGCCUACGGGAGGCAGCAGUGGGGAAUAUUGGACAAUGGGCGAAAGCCUGAUCCAGCCAUGCCGCGUGUGUGAAGAAGGUCUUCGGAUUGUAAAGAACUUUAAGUUGGGAGGAAGGGCAGUAAGUUAAUAACUUGCUGUUUUGACGUUACCAACAGAAUAAGCACCGGCUAACUUCGUG
rnacentral:rRNA from 1 species